rnacentral:rRNA from 1 species
UGGGGAAUCUUCCGCAAUGGACGAAAGUCUGACGGAGCAACGCCGCGUGAGUGAUGACGGCCUUCGGGUUGUAAAGCUCUGUGAUCGGGGACGAAUGGCUGGUGUGCUAAUACCACAUCAGAGUGACGGUACCCGAAUAGCAAGCCACGGCUAACUACGUGCCAGCAGCCGCGGUAAUACGUAGGUGGCAAGCGUUGUCCGGAAUUAUUGGGCGUAAAGCGCGCGCAGGCGGCUUCUUAAGUCCAUCUUAAAAAGUGCGGGGCUUAACCCCGUGAUGGGAUGGAAACUGGGAGGCUGGAGUAUCGGAGAGGAAAGUGGAAUUCCUAGUGUAGCGGUGAAAUGCGUAGAGAUUAGGAAGAACACCGGUGGCGAAGGCGACUUUCUGGACGACAACUGACGUUGAGGCGCGAAAGCGUGGGGAGCAAACAGGAUUAGAUACCCUGGUAGUCCACGCCGUAAAACGAUGAAUACUAGGUGUAGGAGGUAUCGACCCCUUCUGUGCCGGAGCUAACACAAUAAGUAUUCCGCCUGGGAAGUAUGAUCGCAAGAUUAAAAC